UGAAAUUUAUGAAUAUACAUAUGUCAAAUGCUAUAUAUAUUGUUAGGCUACUUAAGCCGGUUACAGACGAGCAAGUUUUCUAUGACAAGUUUUUAUGUGACAAGUUUUAUUUGCUCGAAUGUACGCGCAACUUUGACAAGUUUUUCUAUGACAAGUGCACUUGUUCAAAAGCGCUAGCAUGCUAGCUAGAAAAAAUUGUCAAAGUACAAAUUUUGUUCGUCUGUAUGGGUCAACAAAGAAAAC